AUUCCAGCUCCAACAGCGUAUAUUAAAGUUGUUGCAGUUAAAAAGCUCGUAGUUGAACUUCAGAUCCGGCUGGGCGGUCUGCCUAACGGUAUGUACUGUCCGGCUGGGUCUUACCUCUUGGUGAGCCGGCAUGCCCUUUAUUGGGUGUGUCGGGGAACCAGGACUUUUACCUUGAGAAAAUUAGAGUGUUCAAAGCAGGCCUAUGCCCGAAUACAUUAGCAUGGAAUAAUAAAAUAGGAUGUGCGGUUCUAUUUUGUUGGUUUCUAGAGUCGCCGUAAUGAUUAAUAGGGAUAGUUGGGGGCAUUAGUAUUCAGUUGCUAGAGGUGAAAUUCUUGGAUUUACUGAAGACUAACUAUUGCGAAAGCAUUUGCCAAGGAUGUUUUCAUCG
rnacentral:rRNA from 1 species